rnacentral:rRNA from 1 species
CAGUGGUUUAAUUAAGUCAGAUGUGAAAGCCCGGGGCUCAACCUYGGAAGGUCAUUUGAAACUGGCAAACUAGAGUACUGUAGAGGGGGGUAGAAUUUCAGGUGUAGCGGUGAAAUGCGUAGAGAUCUGAAGGAAUACCGGUGGCGAAGGCGGCCCCCUGGACAGAUACUGACACUCAGAUGCGAAAGCGUGGGUAGCAAACAGGAUUAGAUACCCUGGUAGUCCACGCCGUAAACGAUGUCUACUUGGAGGUUGUUCCCUAGAGGAGUGGCUUUCGGAGCUAACGCGUUAAGUAGACCGCCUGGGGAGUACGGUCGCAAGAUUAAAACUCAAAUGAAUUGACGGGGGCCCGCACAAGCGGUGGAGCAUGUGGUUUAAUGAUGCAACGCG